CUCAACCUCUAAAGUCCCAGAUCUGGCUGAGGAGACUGUGGAUCAUCCUGAGUCCUGAGGAAAUUUAAAGUUGGCAUCACUUCCCACUCCUGACAUGUAGAUGACACUGUCAUCCCCUCGAAGAACGGCAAGAAAAUUCUUCGAUUUCACCUUCUGUAAGACAAUAAUUAUGCUCAGAUAUAGAUUAAAUCAUGAAAGGAUGUUUCACAUUAAUGAAAAGCAAAGAAGUUACAUUUCCA